CGGCGUGGAUGAGGCAUGCAAGUCGAACGGACUUGAGUGCAAACUUGAGUUAGUGGCGGAAGGGUUAGUAAUGCACAGGUAACGUACCGUGACCCUGGGGAUAACAUUCAGAAAUGGGUGCUAAUACCGAAUGUCGUCAACUUUCGGCAUCGAGAGUUGAUGAAAGCGGGGGAUUCCGAGAGGAACCUUGCGGGAUACGAGCGGCCUGUGUGGCAUCAGCUUGUUGGUAGGGUAAUGGCCUACCAAGGCUGAGACGCCUAGGCGGACUGGGAGGUCGAUCGCCAACACUGGGACUGAGAACUGCCCAGACUCCUACGGGAGGCUGCAGUCGAGAAUCUUUCGCAAUGGGCGCAAGCCUGACGAAGCGACGCCGUGUGUGUGAUGAAGGUUUUAGGAUCGUAAAGCACUUUCGCCUGUGAGCAAGGAUUUCCUUCUAAUAAAGGGAAGUUUUGAGAGUAGCAGGUAAAGAAGCGCCGGCCAACUACGUGCCAGCAGCUGCGGUAAUACGUAGGGCGCAAGCAUUAAUCGGAUUUAUUGGGUGUAAAGGGUGCGUAGGCUGCUGGGUAAGUUGGAUGUGAAAUUCCGGAGUUCAUCUUCGGACUGCAUACAAAACUGCUCAGCUAGAGUAUAAGAGGGGAAAGCGGAAUUCCACAAGUAGCGGUGAAAUGCGUAGAUAUGUGGAGGAACACCGGUGGCGAAGGCGGCUUUCUGGAUUAUUACUGACGCUGAGGCACGAAAGCAUGGGGAGCAAACAGGAUUAGAUACCCUGGUAGUCCAUGCCGUAAACGAUGCACACUUGAUGUAGUCGGUCUCAACCCCGGCUGUGUCGAAGCUAACGCGAUAAGUGUGCCACCUGGGGAGUACGCUCGCAAGGGUGAAACUCAAAAGAAUUGACGGGGACCCGCACAAGCAGUGGAGCAUGUGGUUUAAUUCGAUGCAACGCGAAGAACCUUACCUGGGCUUGACAUGCAGAGGACUGGGGCAGAAAUGCUCAGUUUCGAAAGGACCUCUGUACAGGUGCUGCAUGGCUGUCGUCAGCUCGUGCCGUGAGGUGUUGGGUUAAGUCCCGCAACGAGCGCAACCCUUAUU
rnacentral:rRNA from 1 species